rnacentral:rRNA from 1 species
AUUGAACGCUGGCGGCAGGCCUAACACAUGCAAGUCGAGCGGAUGAGUGGAGCUUGCUCCAUGAUUCAGCGGCGGACGGGUGAGUAAUGCCUAGGAAUCUGCCUGGUAGUGGGGGACAACGUUUCGAAAGGAACGCUAAUACCGCAUACGUCCUACGGGAGAAAGUGGGGGAUCUUCGGACCUCACGCUAUCAGAUGAGCCUAGGUCGGAGUAGCUAGUUGGUGAGGUAAAGGCUCUCCAAGGCGACGAUCCGUAACUGGUCUGAGAGGAUGAUCAGUCACACUGGAACUGGGACACGGUCCAGACUCCUACGGGAGGCAGCAGUGGGGAAUAUUGGACAAUGGGCGAAAGCCUGAUCCAGCCAUGCCGCGUGUGUGAAGAAGGUCUUCGAAUUGUAAAGCACUUUAAGUUGGGAGGAAGGGCAGUAAGUUAAUACCUUGCUGUUUUGACGUUACCAACAGAAUAAGCACCGGCUAACUUCGUGCCAGCCGCCGCAGUAACAC